GGAAAGUGGCGGGCGCACGCUGCGCGUGAUCAAGAAAAAAAUCCCGUUGUCAGAGAACGACCCUGUGCGCCAGCUCGGAUUUGCAAAGCCUCCCGCCGUGAUCCCCUCGAGCCCCGCCCAAAGGGCUCCUCUUUUCAGGACUCACUCCCUGGCCAGUUUCAUUUUUCCAGGCCCACGUGUUGUUAGUUACAUACGUUAAAAUUACUGGCGUUUUAAACGCUUUCCUUUUUCUUAAAAUGUGUGUUUUGUUCUUAAUAUUUGGAUUCAAUGACACCACAAUCUGAUUUGAUGAAAGUGAUUAGACAUACCGGACAAAGUGGUUGGCUGCUGUUACUGGGGAACAAGUGCUGGCUGAACCUGCCAAAGUGAUAUCAGAUGAAAGAAAGAGGAAGGACGGAAGGAAGAAAUUGUUAAAUAUUUUCCAAAGGAAGAGACUUUUACAGUCAGACAUGGAACGGGGUUACAAGAUUGCCACACGUUUAGGAAAUAAAAAAGACAUGUGUAUGUUUCUAGCCCUUCAUAUGGAGAAAUCUCCAAUGUGUGUUAAUCCAUCUGAAAAGUUCAAUAAAACUGGGAUUGUUGUGUGCGAGUCAGACAAAAUACACAAAGUGGUAGCAAUGAGCUGCUCCAGAGAAAACUUACAUGCUGUGCAACAUGUCAUGCUGAACGUUCCCUGUUUGAGUAACUGCACUGUGUAUUUGUCCAGGAAACCCUGCUCCAUCUGUACUACAUUUCUCAUUCAAGGAUCAGUUUCUUCAGUCUAUUACUGGCCAAUGUCUCCAGAAAUAAAAGGGGAAGAUUCAGCAGUUCAGGAAGAUCUCAAGCAAGUUGACCAAAUGUUUCUCAGAAGUAAUAUAAGUAGCAGUGUUUUUCUACCAAUCACAGACUCUGACACUGUAUUUAAGAUUUCAUCUAGAAUCAAAAUAUACAAGUGCACAGAAUGCAGUUCCCAUUAUGCUGAGGCUGUCCCUAAAGACAUGGAAAAAAAUAGUUCAUUGCUUAAUAUGCAAGGCCAUAUAAGGAUAUGUGCAGAGCAGAUGAAGAUUGCAUUGUGUUGCCUUGAUAGUUUACUGCAUUGUCCCCAUGGAGAAUUUGAAAAAAAAGAAAAGAUUGAAGUGGAAAAAAUGCACACACAUGCAUUGCAGCUUUGUUAUCUUUUAGCAGCAAGAUCUGAUGAUCCAGAUCGAGGUGUGGGUUGCAUAUUAUACAAUCAGAAUGGAUAUUUUUUUGGGGCAGGUUAUAAUGGAUAUCCUAUUGGUGCAAUAUUUGCAAACCUGCCUUGUGCAGGUAGAAACAUCAAAAAAGAGUCAGGAACAGCAAAAGGACCAGUCCUUAUCCAUGCUGAAGCAAAUGCUCUACUAUUCAGAUCCAGAAAAAAAAUAGAAGAGAACGAUGUUCUUUAUUGCACGAAACCUCCCUGCUCUGAAUGUCAGAACUAUAUACAGUUUGUGGGCAUAAAGAAAAUUGUUUCUGUACAAGAAUCAACACAAUCGUCAUCAAACCAACAAGACUCCACAGGCUCUUUAAAGAGCAACUUUGAAUAUUAUCAGUGGAAACCUCAAUAUGCGGAAUGUUCUGCUUCCCCCUUCAGUAAGCAAACAGAGAAUUCAGAAAAAAGAGAUGGAGAGGAAACAGAAAGAAAGAAUGAUAAAGGUCCUCCUCCUCGUCUACCAAAUAAAGAAGACCUGUGCAUCUUCUUAGCACUCCAUAUGGAAAAUUCACCAAACUGUCAAGAGCCAAGUUGUAAAUAUGUGCGUAACAAACAAAAAGAAACAAAAUUUUUCAAAACUGGAAUUGUCAUCUGUGAAGCUAACAAACCGAAAAGGAUUAUCACAAUGGACUGCUCCACUGAAGAUCUUCAUGCGGUGCCAAAAGCAUUGUUAAGAUUUCCAAAUGCACUGAGGGGCUGUGAAGUUUACCUGUCUCGAAUGCCUUGCAUCAGUUGCGCAAAACUUUUGAUUCAAGCUCAAGUUUCUCAAGUGUAUUACUGGCCUAAUCUUGAAAUACAAACAACAGAAGUAAAUCUGAAAAACAUUGAAAUGGAAGCUGAACAUGUUGAUAACAUCUUUAGGGAAAGCUAUAUCACUGCAGCAGUCUACAUACCAAUAUUAGAUGUUGAAACGGUGAAGCAAAGGAUUUUUCCACGAACAGGAUCACCACCAGAUACUAAGAACACCACUCCAAUUACCUCUGUAUAUGAUCAUAAACGAUCACCUAAACUUUUAGAAAUACUUAACCUGGCGCAUAUUACAAAAGAUAAAGUAUUCCAGGAAUCAUACAGAGAUGAUAUUGUUAAAGCAAUCCAAUCUUUUCAGACACUGGCAGGUGGCAUUGAUACUGAAAUAAAGGAAAAUAAUUUUCAAGAGGAUAAACAUGCCAUUCAAAGAGAACCCAAGUAUAUUCAUGCAUUGCAGCUCUGUAACUUACUAGCAGCCAGAAAUGACAGUCCUAAUACUGGAGUGGGGACGCUGAUCUACAGAAAAGAAGACAUUGUUGCUGUUGGCUACAAUGGAUUUCCAAAAGGGACAGUGAAUAGUCUGUUUUCACAGAAGGAUGAUGGUAGUUGUGACCAGCAUGCAAUCAUCUGUGCAGAAGCUAAUGCAAUUAUUCUGAGAACUGAGGAUGAUCUGAGUGACACUGAAUUAAUCACCACAUGUGAGCCCUGUAGUGUCUGUGAAAACCUAAUUAAAGCAAUGAAGAUAAAGAAAAUCAUUUGGCCUAAUAGAGAUGAAAAAAAGCAACCAGAAGGUGCAACUAAAGAUCCAACAGAAGAAGAAAAUAAUCCAAGAACUGAAUCCUUUCAAGUAAAAGGCAGCAUCAAAAAAGUCAUGAGCAUUUGUGAUGAAAAGAUUUUAGCACUCCAAGCUGAUCGAGAGAAAUGUAAUAGAAAGGAUACUGAAGGAACUCCAGUCUCAGGAGAGAAGGAAGGAAAAACAAUGGAAAUACAGUCACCAGCAGAUGAGGGACAUGCUUCUGGUCAGCAGGCCAUUUUAAAUUCAUCAGCAGUGUCUGCAUCCCACAGAGAUGACAUAGUGAAAGAAGACAGAGAAAAAACAAAUCCUUUAUUGACUGAGACUGAAUCAGAACUAGAAACUGAAUCCUUGGACAAGCCAAAAGAAUCACAUAAUGCAGAAGAGCCACCUGUAAAUGCUGCAGAUGAUGAACCAGCAUAAACAUCAGAACAAUCAGAAGAGUUUUAGGGACCUGGCAACCCCCCCAGAAUAUCUCAGAUAGUUAAGUAUCAGGUUUUUAAUCUUGAGAUGCCUAUGCAUUUUAAUUGUAUAGGUACCUCUUUCCAUAAGUCUCUAGGCAUCAUAGCAAAAAUAACUGAAAACAUAAUAUAUGACAGUUCCACACACACAGCUCUAGUAGAGCUUCCUAAUCUGGCUGGGCAUUUCCCAGACUGUUGUGUUUGGGAUCCAGUGAUAUGGGCCCUGUGUGCUCUUUAAGUCUCCUGAACAGAGUCCAGACCUUACCCCUGUGACAGUGAAAGCCAACAGACACACAGACAAACUUUGCACAGCAUUCUAAAACACCAUUACUCUUUACUUAGCAACACAAGAGAUACACAGAGAACAUAAUAAGCACAACUCAGUUUCCUCACCACUCUGGAGAGUUCUUUGGACUUGGGCUUCCUCUGGGAUGUCCAGGAUCCUUCUUUUGCAGCUCUUGGUUUCUUUUUAGAAUCAUUGAGUACUUCUAAGUUAGCUAGGUUUCUCUGACCUUGGCUAGCCCUGAACUCCCUACUAAGAAAGCAUGCACUUCUCUUCCUCUCUCUUGCCCAAAGCUGCCUGUGUCUUAAUCUGUGAGUCUUCCCUCACAUUUUUAUGGCCACUACCAACUUCUAGUUACUUUGUUCUCCUGCUGGGUAUUUUCUGAUUCCCCUUCCUGCAGAGACACUUGGUUGAACUGAUUUCCCUACUUGGGCAAUCUCCUUAGCAUACCCUUUGGUCAGAGAACAGUCAUUAAGGUUCACAACUCCCUGGUCUGGUGGAAUCCACAUCCUCACAGAGGUGUUUCCUGAUACAACAAUUUCAUAAUUUCAUAACAUCAAACAGAAUUCAUAAGUUGUACCUAGAGUCCCCAAAUAAUCACAGUGACACAUAAUGCGGAAAUAUUUGGACAUAUGCAGGAAAAUUGUUUGUAUUAUUAUAAUAGUGUCUAGAGGCCCCAGCUGCGAUUGUGGGGCCCCAUUGUGCCAAGUGCUGUACAAACACAUUUAAGAAUUUUAUUAAGAUGAUGUUAAAAUAAAAAGAAAAUGGUACAGAAUUUAAGUGUAGAAGUUUCUGGUUAUCAGGGAAUAACGUACAGAUUAUAAAACAAUCCCUGUCCCAAAGAGUUCACAUCUUAAGUCCCUGAACCUGUGAACACUUGCAAACAUGCUUAAUUUAAAAAAAAGACCAACACAGUUUGUGAGAAAGUUUCCUUAUGCCCAUUUUAACUGGGGCACAUAGAGACUCGAGGCCUGGUCUACACUAGAAAGUUUAUGUCGGAUUUAGCAGCGUUAACCCUGCACCUGUCCACCCAAUGAAGCCAUUUUUUUCGACAUAAAGGGCUCUUAAAACCGAUUUCUGUACUCCUCCCCAAUGAGGGGAUUAGCGCUGAUAUCGACAUCGCUGUUUCGAAUUUGGGUUAGUGUGGACGCAAUUUGAAGGUAUUGGCCUCCGGGAGCUAUCCCAUAGUGCACCAUUGUGACCUCUCUGGACAGCAGUCUGAACUCGGAUGCACUAGCCAAGUGUACAGGAAAAGCCCCGGGAACUUUUGAAUCUCAUUUCCUGUUUGGCCAGGUGAGCUCAUCAGCACAGGUGACCAUGCAGAGCUCAUCAGCACAGGUGACCAUGCAGUCCCAGAAUCAAAAAAGAGCUCCAGCAUGGACCAAACGAGAGGUACUGGAUCUGAUCACUGUAUGGGGAGAGGACUCUGUGCUAUCAGAACUACGUUCCAAAAGACGAAAUGCCAAAACAUUUCAAAAAAUUUCCAAGGCCAUGAGGGACAGAGGCUACAGCGGGGACACAAUACAGUGCUGCGUGAAACUUAAGGAGCUCAGACAAGCGUACCAGAAAAACCAAAGAAUCAAACGGACACUCUGGGACAGAGCCCCAGACAUGACACUUCUAUGCUGAGCUGCAUGCAAUUCUGUGGGGGGGCCACCACUGCUACCCCACCCCUGUCUAUGGACUCCGAUGAUGGGGUACUCUUCGCCAUGCCUGAGGAUUUUGUGGACGGGGAAGAUGAGGAGGAGGAGGACGAGCUUGAGGAGAGCACACAGCACCCCGUUCUCCCCAACAGCCAGGAUCUUUUUCUCACCCUGACUGAAAUACCCUCCCAACCCAACGAAGCUGGAGAAGGGACCUCUGCAGCUGCAAAUGUUUCAAGUGUCCCUCCACCGUCCCAAAGGCUCACUCAGAUAAGGCGGCGAAAAAAACGCACGUGCGAUGAAAUGUUCUCUGAGCUCAUGCAGUUGUCCGGCACUGAGAGAGCUGUGUGGAGGGACAC